CUUCCUUUGAAUUUUUGGGAAAAGACUGAUAUUGAUUUAUGGGCCUCAGAGGAGACUGAAGCUAAAUUUUGAAGGUGUUACUUCAGUUAAAGCUGGAGAGCUUGCAGCAGAGAAACAGAGGACUAAAGGACCUCACCUUUUGGAGGUCCACCAGGGUAACAUCCAUUCCGGCUCUCAGAGACAACUCCACUUCCAGGUUUCUUUCAACUGGUGUUACUUCUGCCCCAACAUGAUGACUUCACUUCCGGCCCAUUUCCGAUAACCUCAUUUCUGGCUAUUGAUUAUGCCGUCAUCUCCGUCACCCAUCUUCAAUGUCAUUUCCUCCUUCACUUCCUGCCAUACUUCCAUAAAAGUCCCAUCAAGCCUU